UACGUAGGCAGCAAGCGUUGUUCGGAGUUACUGGGCGUAAAGGGUGUGUAGGCGGUCUUCUAAGUCUGGUGUGAAAUCUCCCGGCUCAACUGGGAGGGUGCGCCGAAAACUGGAAGGCUAGAGUGCGGGAUGGGAGAGUGGAAUUCCUGGUGUAGCGGUGAAAUGCGUAGAUAUCAGGAGGAACACCUGUGGUGUAGACGGCUCUCUGGACCGCAACUGACGCUGAGGCGCGACAGCGUGGGGAGCAAACAGG
rnacentral:rRNA from 1 species